rnacentral:rRNA from 1 species
AAUGAACGUUGGCGGCGUGGAUUAGGCAUGCAAGUCGAGCGAGAAACCAAUUAGCUUGCUAUGAGGUGGACAGCGGCGAAAGGGAGAGUAACGCGUGGUUACGUGCCCUCGGGACUGGGAUAGCGUCGGGAAACUGGCGGUAAUACCGGAUAACAUCUCUGGAUCAAAUGGUGAGAUUCCGCCCGAGGAUCGGACCGCGUACUAUUAGCUUGUUGGCGGGGUAAUGGCCCACCAAGGCUGCGAUGGUUACCGGGUGUGAGAGCAUGGCCCGGCUCACUGGGACUGAGACACUGCCCAGACAUUUACGGAUGGCUGCAGUCGAGAAUCUUCGGCAAUGGACGAAAGUCUGACCGAGCGACGCCGCGUGCGGGAUGAAGGCCCUCGGGUUGUAAACCGCUGUCAGUUAGGAGGAAAUCCAUGGGGGUUCUCCCUCAUGGUUGACCGAUUUUCAGAGGAAGGACGGGCUAAGUUCGUG